UACGUAGGGUGCAAGCGUUGUCCGGAAUUAUUGGGCGUAAAGAGCUCGUAGGCGGCCUGUUGCGUCCGCUGUGAAAGCCCGGGGCUUAACCCCCGGGUCUGCAGUGGAUACGGGCAGGCUAGAGGUAGGUAGGGGAGAAUGGAAUUCCCGGUGUAGCGGUGAAAUGCGCAGAUAUCGGGAGGAACACCGGUGGCGAAGGCGGUUCUCUGGGCCUUACCUGACGCUGAGGAGCGAAAGCGUGGGGAGCGAACAGG
rnacentral:rRNA from 1 species